rnacentral:rRNA from 1 species
CUACGGGGGGCACCAGUGAGGAAUAUUGGUCAAUGGACGCAAGUCUGAACCAGCCAUGCCGCGUGCAGGAUGACGGCCCUAUGGGUUGUAAACUGCUUUUAUUUGGGAAGAAACCUUUGCUCGUGAGCGAAGCUGACGGUACUAAAUGAAUAAGCAUCGGCUAACUCCGUGCCAGCAGCCGCGGUAAUACGGAGGAUGCAAGCGUUAUCCGGAUUUAUUGGGUUUAAAGGGUGCGUAGGCGGGAAAAUAAGUCAGUGGUGAAAUCCUGCAGCUUAACUGUAGAACUGCCAUUGAUACUGUUUUUCUUGAGUACAUUUGAAGUGGGCGGAAUGUGUUGUGUAGCGGUGAAAUGCAUAGAUAUGACACAGAACACCGAUUGCGAAAGCAGCUCACUAAACUGUCACUGACGCUGAGGCACGAAAGCGUGGGUAGCAAACAGGAUUAGAUACCCUCGUAGUC